rnacentral:rRNA from 1 species
AGUGAACGCUGGCGGUAGGCCUAACACAUGCAAGUCGAACGGCAGCACAGUAAGAGCUUGCUCUUACGGGUGGCGAGUGGCGGACGGGUGAGGAAUACAUCGGAAUCUACUUUUUCGGGGGGGAUAACGUAGGGAAACUUACGCUAAUACCGCAUACGACCUACGGGUGAAAGCAGGGGAUCUUCGGACCUUGCGCGAUUGAAUGAGCCGAUGUCGGAUUAGCUAGUUGGCGGGGUAAAGGCCCACCAAGGCGACGAUCCGUAGCUGGUCUGAGAGGAUGAUCAGCCACACUGGAACUGAGACACGGUCCAGACUCCUACGGGAGGCAGCAGUGGGGAAUAUUAGACAAUGGGGGCAAGCAUGAUCCAGCCGUACCGCGUGGGUGAAGAAGGCCCUCGGGUUGUAAAGCCCUUUUGUUGGGAAAGAAAAGCAGCAGGUUAAUACCCCGCUGUUCUGACGGUACCCAAAGAAUAAGCACCGGCUAACUUCGUG